CCUUCGAUAGCUCAGUUGGUAGAGCGGGGGACUGUAGAUCCCUAGGUCACUGGUUCAAAUCCGGUUCGAAGGA
rnacentral:tRNA from 1 species